UACGGAAGGCAGCAGUGGGGGAAUAUUGCACAAUGGGCGCAAGCCUGAUGCAGCCAUGCCGCGUGUAUGAAAAAGGCCUUCGGGUUGUAAAGUACUUUCAGUCGUGAGGAAGGUGUUAAGGUUAAUAACCUUAGCAAUUGACGUUAGCGACAGAAGAAGCACCGGCUAACUCCGUGCCAGCAGCCGCGGUAAUACGGAGGGUGCGAGCGUUAAUCGGAAUUACUGGGCGUAAAGGGCACGCAGGCGGUUAAUUAAGUUGGAUGUGAAAUCCCCGGGCUUAACCUGGGAAUGGCAUUCAAGACUGGUUAGCUAGAGUCUUGUAGAGGGGGUAGAAUUCCAUGUGUAGCGGUGAAAUGCGUAGAGAUGUGGAGGAAUACCGGUGGCGAAGGCGGCCCCUGGACAAAGACUGACGCUCAUGUGCGAAAGCGUGGGGAGCGAAACAGGGAUUAGAUACC
rnacentral:rRNA from 1 species